rnacentral:rRNA from 1 species
AGAGUUUGAUCAUGGCUCAGGAUGAACGCUAGCUACGGGCUUAACACAUGCAAGUCGAGGGGAAACGACAUCGAAAGCUUGCUUUUGAUGGGCGUCGACCGGCGCACGGGUGAGUAACGCGUAUCCAACCUGCCCACCACUUGGGGAUAACCUUGCGAAAGUAAGACUAAUACCCAAUGAUAUCUCUAGAAGACAUCUGAAAGAGAUUAAAAGAUUUAUCGGUGAUGGAUGGGGAUGCGUCUGAUUAGCUUGUUGGCGGGGUAACGGCCACCAAGGCGACGAUCGAGUAGGGGUUCUGAGAGGAACGGUCCCCCANAUUGGAACUGAGACACGGUCCAAACUCCGUACGGGAGGCA